rnacentral:rRNA from 1 species
AAUCUUCCUUCAGGUCGGGGAUAAACAGCUGGAAAAGGCUGCUAAUACCUGGAUGAGCCGAGAGGUAAAAGCAAAAAGUGCCUGAAGAUGAGCUCGCGUCUGAUUAGCUAGUUGGUGGGGUAAGAGCCUACCAAGGUGACGAUCAGUAGCUGGUCUGAGAGGAUGAUCAGCCACACUGGGACUGAGACACGGCCCAGACUCGUACGGGAGGCAGCAGUGGGGAAUUAUCCGCAAAUGGCGCAAGCCUGACGGAGCAAUACCGCGUGAGGGAGGAAGGCCCUUGGGUUGUAAACCUCUUUUGUCAGGGAAGAAGGUCUGACGGUACCUGACGAAUCAGCAUCGGCUAACUCCUUGCCAGCAGCCGCGGUAAUACGGAGGAUGCAAGCGUUAUCCGGAUUUAUUGGGCGUAAAGGGUCCGCAGGUGGUUAUUCAAGUCUGCUGUCAAAGCGCGGAGCUUAAUUCUGUACAGGCGGUGGAAACUGAGGAACUAGAGUCUGGUAGGGGUCGCGGGAAUUCCCAGUGUAGCGGUGAAAUGCGUAGAUAUUGGGAAGAACACCGGCGGCGAAAGCGCGCGACUGGACCGGAACUGACACUGAGGGACGAAAGCUAGGGGAGCGAAAGGGAUUAGAUACCCCUGUAGUC